AGUGAACGCUGGCGGUAGGCCUAGCACAUGCAAGUCGAACGGCAGCACAGUAAGAGCUUGCUCUUACGGGUGGCGAGUGGCGGACGGGUGAGGAAUACAUCGGAAUCUACUUUUUCGUGGGGGAUAACGUAGGGAAACUUACGCUAAUACCGCAUACGACCUACGGGUGAAAGCAGGGGAUCUUCGGACCUUGCGCGAUUGAAUGAGCCGAUGUCGGAUUAGCUAGUUGGCGGGGUAAAGGCCCACCAAGGCGACGAUCCGUAGCUGGUCUGAGAGGAUGAUCUGCCACACUGGAACUGAGACACGGUCCAGACUCCUACGGGAGGCAGCAGUGGGGAAUAUUGGUCAAUGGGCGCAAGCCUGAUCCAGCCAUACCGCGUGGGUGAAGAAGGCCUUCGGGUUGUAAAGCCCUUUUGUUGGGAAAGAAAAGCAGCAGGUUAAUACCCCGCUGUUCUGACGGUACCCAAAGAAUAAGCACCGGCUAACUUCGUG
rnacentral:rRNA from 1 species